UACGUAGGGUGCGAGCGUUGUCCGGAAUUAUUGGGCGUAAAGAGCUCGUAGGCGGUUUGUCACGUCUGCUGUGAAAUCCCGAGGCUCAACCUCGGGCCUGCAGUGGGUACGGGCAGACUGGAGUGCGGUAGGGGAGAAUGGAAUUCCUGGUGUAGCGGUGGAAUGCGCAGAUAUCAGGAGGAACACUGAUGGCGAAGGCAGUUCUCUGGGCCGUAACUGACGCUGAGGAGCGAAAGCGUGGGGAGCGAACAGG
rnacentral:rRNA from 1 species